UACAGAGGUCUCAAGCGUUGUUCGGAUUCAUUGGGCGUACAGGGUGUGUAGGUGGCGCGUUAAGUCGGGGGUGAAAUCCUGGAGCUCAACUCCAGAACUGCCUUCGAUACUGGCGAUCUCGAGUUCGGGAGAGGUGAGUGGAACUGCGAGUGUAGAGGUGAAAUUCGUAGAUAUUCGCAAGAACACCAGUGGCGAAGGCGGCUCACUGGCCCGAUACUGACGCUGAGGAGCGAAAGCGUGGGUAGCGAACAGG
rnacentral:rRNA from 1 species